AUGCUCCAUUAGCACAUACUUUAAAAUUAGAGUCAUACAGAGAAGAUUAUCAUGGUUCCUACAUUAAGAUGACAUAAAAGUUUCAACUAGGUUAUUGUUUUAA